rnacentral:tRNA from 2 species
GCUCUCGUCGUUCAACGGAUAGGAUGCGGCCCUCCGAAGGCUGUGAUGCCAGUUCGAUUCUGGCCGAGAGCACUA